UACGUAGGGGGCGAGCGUUGUCCGGAAUCAUUGGGCGUAAAGAGCGUGUAGGCGGUCCGGUAAGUCGGCUGUGAAAGUCCAGGGCUCAACCCUGGGAUGCCGGUCGAUACUGCCGGACUAGAGUUCGGAAGAGGCGAGUGGAAUUCCCGGUGUAGCGGUGAAAUGCGCAGAUAUCGGGAGGAACACCUAUGGGCGAAGGCAGCUCGCUGGGACGUUACUGACGCUGGAGACGCGAAAGCGUGGGGAGCAAACAGGAUUAGAU
rnacentral:rRNA from 1 species